AUACGUAGGGUGCGAGCGUUAAUCGGAAUUACUGGGCGUAAGGCGUGCGCAGGCGGUUUUGUAAGUCAGAUGUGAAAUCCCCGGGCUUAACCUGGGAACUGCGUUUGAAACUGCAAGGCUAGAGUGUGGCAGAGGGGGGUGGAAUUCCGCGUGUAGCAGUGAAAUGCGUAGAGAUGUGGAGGAACACCGAUGGCGAAGGCAGCCCCCUGGGUCAACACUGACGCUCAGGCACGAAAGCAUGGGGAGCAAACAGGAUUAGAAACCCCGGUAGUCC
rnacentral:rRNA from 1 species